GGGACACGUGGUAUCCUGUCUGAAUAUGGGGGGACCAUCCUCCAAGGCUAAAUACUCCUGACUGACCGAUAGUGAACCAGUACCGUGAGGGAAAGGCGAAAAGAACCCCGGCGAGGGGAGUGAAAAAGAACCUGAAACCGUGUACGUACAAGCAGUGGGAGCACAGAGCAAUCUGUGUGACUGCGUACCUUUUGUAUAAUGGGUCAGCGACUUAUAUUCUGUAGCAAGGUUAACCGAAUAGGGGAGCCGAAGGGAAACCGAGUCUUAACUGGGCGUUAAGUUGCAGGGUAUAGACCCGAAACCCGGUGAUCUAGCCAUGGGCAGGUUGAAGGUUGGGUAACACUAACUGGAGGACCGAACCGACUAAUGUUGAAAAAUUAGCGGAUGA
rnacentral:rRNA from 1 species